rnacentral:tRNA from 1 species
GGGAAUGUGGUGUCAACGGAUAGCAUAGCUACUUCCAACGUAGCAGGUCUAGGUUCGAAUCCUAGUGUUCCCG